rnacentral:lncRNA from 1 species
GAUAAAAAACGAAUUCAAAAAAAAGAAUAAUGUUAUCAACAAAACACUAAAUCCUAAACUCUAAUAUUAAACCCUAAACUCAAAUCCUAAACCCUAAACCCUUGGGUAAACCCUAAAUCCUUGGGUAAACCCUAAACUCUUGGAAAAAUGCUAAACAUGUUGUCAACAAAACACCAAACCCUAAACUCUAAUCCUAAACCCUAAACCCUUGGGAAAACCCUAAACCCUUGGGUAAACCCUAAACCCUUA